CGCGUAGGCUGAUAGCCAAGUCAGAUGUGAAAUACCAAAGCUCAACUUUGGUGCUGCAUUUGAAACUGGUUGUCUCGAGGGUUGACGGAGAAAACGGAAUUCCACGUGUAGCGGUGAAAUGCGUAGAUAUGUGGAAGAACACCAGUGGCGAAAGCGGUUUUCUGGUUUAUACCUGACGCUGAGGCGCGAGAGCAAGGGAGCAAACA
rnacentral:rRNA from 1 species